AGAGUUUGAUCCUGGCUCAGGAUAAACGCUGGCGGCGUGCUUAACACAUGCAAGUCGAGCGAGAAAGUUUUCUUCGGAAAGCGAGUAAAGCGGCGGACGGGUGAGUAAUACAUGAGGAAAUUACCGUUUAAUGGGGGACAACUUACCGAAAGGUUUGCUAAUACCGCAUGUGCUUAUUUAAUGACAUCAUUUUUUAAGUAAAGAUGGCCUCUACUUGUAAGCCAUUGUUAAACGAGAUUCUCGUGUCCUAUCAGCUUGUUGGUAAGGUAACGGCUUACCAAGGCGACGACGGGUAGUUGGUCUGAGAGGAUGACCAGCCACACUGGGACUGAGACACGGCCCAGACUCCUACUGGAGGCAGCAGUGAGGAAUAUUGCGCAAUGGGCGAAAGCCUGACGCAGCGACGCCGCGUGGACGAUGAAGCCUUUAGGGGUGUAAAGUCCUUUCAGUAAGGAAGAAUAAGUAGAGUAGGAAAUGACUCUACGAUGACGGUACUUACAGAAGAAGCCCCGGCUAAAUACGUGCCAGCAGCCGCGGUAAUACGUGGGGCGAGCGUUAUCCGGAUUUACUGGGUGUAAAGGGCGCGUAGGUGGAUAUAUAAGUCAGAUGUGAAAGUUCAGAGCUUAACUCUGAAAUUGCAUUUGAAACUGUAUAUCUAGAGUUCAGGAGAGGAGAGUAGAAUUCCUGGUGGAGCGGUGAAAUGCAUAGAUAUCAGGAGGAAAACCAGUGGCGAAGGCGGCUCUCUGGACUGUAACUGACACUGAGGCGCGAAAGCGUGGGGAGCGAACAGGAUUAGAGACCCUGGUAGUCCACGCCGUAAACGAUGGAUACUAGGUGUAGGGAGGAAUCAAUCUCUCUGUGCCGGAGUUAACGCAUUAAGUAUCCCACCUGGGGACUACGAGCGCAAGCUUAAAACUCAAAGGAAUUGACGGGGGCCCGCACAAGCGGUGGAGCAUGUGGUUUAAUUCGAUGCAACGCGAAGAACCUUACCUAGACUUGACAUUUUGUUGACGAUCAUAGAAAUAUGGUUUUCUUUCGGGACAGCAGAACAGGUGCUGCAUGGCUGCCGUCAGCUCGUGUCGUGAGAUGUUGGCUUAAGUGCCGCAACGAGCGCAACCCGUGUCCUUAGUUACCAGCGAGUAAUGUCGGGAACUCUAAGGAGACUGCCGGUGAUAAACCGGAGGAAGGUGCGGAUGACGUCAAGUCCUCAUGGCCUUUAUGUCUAGGGCUACACACGUGCUACAAUGGUCAAUACAGAGGGACGCAAACUCGCGAGAGUGAGCCAAUCCCAUAAAGUUGGCCCCAGUUCGGAUUGCAGUCUGCAACUCGACUGCAUGAAGUUGGAAUCGCUAGUAAUCGCGGAUCAGCUAUGCCGCGGUGAAUACGUUCUCGGGCCUUGUACACACCGCCCGUCACACCACGAAAGUCGAUAACGCCCGAAGCCGCUGAGCUAAUCUGAUUUUAAUUAGAAGGCAGGUGUCUAAGGCGGGAUUGGUAAUUGGGGUGAAGUCAGCAAGGUA
rnacentral:rRNA from 1 species